GCAAAAAGUAGUUUCAUAUAAUGAACUACAGACUACGAAUCAUUUCUUGUUCGUGUAGAAAAUAAAUCACCACUCCAUAUGAUGUCUGCAAUACAUGAGAAUAGGCGCUCCAUCAAGAAAGCAAAAAAAAAAAAAAAGCAAAUCUUUUAACUAAUUUAUCCCAAUUUGAAAAACUAAUGUCCUCAGCAAGUCCCCAAAAAAUAGUAUACAUGCUAUUGCAGCUAUCAGAAAAUAGGUAAGUCCACAUGUGUUAGCUUUUUAAUCCCGUUUACGAUGUUGCCGUCCACCAUGCACAAGUACAAAGCCCAGAGAUACUACCAUUGCAAGUAGAUACCCAGUCAUUGCUCCAAAAGUCACACAGACUGGCCAUUCCUGCCAUGGCCUUUCCCAGUCA
rnacentral:misc_RNA from 1 species